GGGCUCGUAGUCUAGCCAGGAUAUGAUUCGGGUUUGCGGAACCUGAGAUCGAGGGUUCGAAUCCCUCCGAGUCCGCCA
rnacentral:tRNA from 1 species